GUGUCAGCAGCCGCGGUAAUACGGGGGGAGCAAGCGUUGUUCGGAUUUACUGGGCGUAAAGGGCGGGUAGGCGGCACUGCAAGUCGACUGUGAAAUCUCCGGGCUUAACUCGGAAAGGUCAGCCGAUACUGCGGGGCUAGAGUGCAGAAGGGGCAACUGGAAUUCUCGGUGUAGCGGUGAAAUGCGUAGAUAUCGAGAGGAACACCUGCGGCGAAGGCGGGUUGCUGGGCUGACACUGACGCUGAACUGCGAAAGCUAGGGGAGCGAACGGGAUUAGAAACCCUCGUAGUCC
rnacentral:rRNA from 1 species